rnacentral:rRNA from 1 species
CGUGAGGGAGGAGGCUCUUGGGUCGUAAACCUCUUUUCUCAGGGAAGAAACAAUGACGGUACCUGAGGAAUAAGCAUCGGCUAACUCCGUGCCAGCAGCCGCGGUAAUACGGAGGAUGCAAGCGUUAUCCGGAAUGAUUGGGCGUAAAGCGUCCGCAGGUGGCGAUGUAAGUCUGCUGUUAAAGAGUCUAGCUCAACUAGAUAAGAGCAGUGGAAACUACAUAGCUAGAGUACGUUCGGGGCAGAGGGAAUUCCUGGUGUAGCGGUGAAAUGCGUAGAGAUCAGGAAGAACACCAGUGGCGAAGGCGCUCUGCUAGGCCGUAACUGACACUGAGGGACGAAAGCUAGGGGAGCGAAUGGGAUUAGAUACCCCCCGUAAACGAUGGAUACUAGGCGUGGCUUGUUUCUUCCGAGCCGUGCCGUAGCUAACGCGUUAAGUAUCCCGCCUGGGGAGUACCCCGGCAACAGUGAAACUCGAAGGGAUUGACGGGGCCCGCACAAGCGGUGGAGUAUGUGGUUUAA